rnacentral:lncRNA from 1 species
UUUGGGGUGGAGGGGACCCCUUGGAUGCCACCCAGAACCCAGCCAGGGGAAAGCUGGCCAGGGAUCAGCCAGCAGCUGGGUCAGGCAUCACUUGUUCUGUAUGUUCUAAUUAUUGCAUCAUUUCUAUCAUUAUUUUCCUUCUUGGUUUGGUCCUAUUAAUCUGUAACCCAAACCAUGAAUUUUUUUUUCCAUAGUUCUCUCCCCCAUCGCACUGGGGCAGAGGGAGUGGGUGAGAGGCUCUGAGUUUUAGCUGGUUUUGGGUCAAACCAGACAGGUUUGCACACAUAAUUACACCAUCCACUGCUCUGGACAUUUUGCUCCCACAAUCUGAGUGAGUUCCCAUUGUUCAGCAGGAGAGCAAGGGACAGGGCACCCCCACUGUGUCACAGCAGGAUCAGGUUCAGAGGAGAAUUAAAUUUGCCAAUUAUCUUCCCACUUUCUUGUGCUAUGAAGCAUGUGCUCAUCCCCUCCCUGCAAAAGGCAGCUCCCCUUGCAUGGAAAUCAAUUUGAUGGUAUGAGUUUAAAGGUUUGUGCUGGAGGACUUCAGCAUCUUGCUUCUACAUAGGCAUGAGCCAAGUUAAAAUUUCCUUCUCUUUCCCUUCUGCUUAACCCUUUUAAUGUGGCUUCAGUGUUUGCCUCUUUACAGAUGUGCCCAUUUCCAGCUGAAGAAACUUGAGCUCAGAGGCUCGGAACAUGACAGUUCUAAUAUUGUAACUCUGACAUAUUUGGAAGUUUGCAUUCCUUUCUUUCUUUUGAUAUGAAAUGUAUUUAGAAAAUUGUUAAUUACGGCAAAAACAAAACCAACAAUAACUCAAGACUUAACAAUAAAACCUUGAAAAGGAAACAAAACAUUCAGUUAACCAGAAGCAAUUACUUCAUCGCUAUUUUCAGUUUAAAAACAAAAACAAAACCUCCAGGUUGCGAGGGUUUUAUCCUGUUUACAGAAAAUAUAUUUUCCAGGAUGGCAGAACUUUUCCCAGAACUUGACAAUGGUGUUUCUCUUCCCCUCCAAAGUACCACUUCUUCCAUAUGUUUAAGAAGGCACAUAAAGUCCAUUGAUUUCUCCAUGACCUAAACACAAGUGGAAUGUCUUGAUGAAAGGCAUCCAAAAGGUUUUUCUACAAGAACCCCAUGACUGUGGAAA